GAUAAUAGAGGUGUAGGCUAGGCUAGGCUACCUACUGUACUGUACUCUACUGGAAAAUAGAGGUGUAGGCCAAGCUAGGCUACCUACUGUACUGUACUGGAUAAUAGAGGUGUAGGCUAGGCUACCUACUGUACUGUACUGGAUAAUAGAGGUGUAGGCUAGGCUAGGCUACCUACUCUACUCUCCUGGAUAAUAGAGGUGUAGGCUAGGCUAGGCUACCAACUGUUCUGUACUGGAUAAUAUAGGUGUAGGCUAGGCUAGGCUACCUACUGUACUGGAUAAUAGAGGUGUAGGCUAGGCUACCUACUGUACUGGAUAAUAGAGGUGUAGGCUAGGCUACCUACUGUACUAUACUGGAUAAUAGAGGUGUAGGCUAGGCUAGGCUACCUACUGUACUGUACUGGAUAAUAGAGGUGUAGGCUAGGCUAGGCUACCUACUCUACUCUCCUGGAUAAUAGAGGUGUAGGUUAGGCUAGGCUACCUACUGUACUGUACUGGAUAAUAUAGGUGUAGGCUAGGCUACCUACUGUACUGUACUGGAUAAUAGAGGUGUAGGCUAGGCUACCUACUGUACUCUACUGGAUAAUAGAGGUGUACAUUAAUAGUGGGGGAGUCCCCAAUGGCAUCCUAAGUAUUGUACUACGUAUCUCCAGGACUCAUUGGGUCAAAACAACUUCACUAUAUAGGGAAUAGGGUGAUAUUUGGGACAGAUCCAGUGCUGAGUCACAGUACGCUCAUGUGCAGAGACUUGCUAAUUAACUGUCAUCACUGGGCCAUGACAACCCUGGUUUAGCAAUAACCCAAACCCUCUUGUCUCUCCCAGAGCCGGAGCUAGUACAAUAAUAAUAUGUUGUUUUAAGGUUAUUAUUCUACUUUCACGGAAUGGUACAGAGAGUAAUAAUACUGGGCUAAGGUACGGUACCUUACUGGCAGCGUUAUUGAGUUUCUGCAGGUUGAGUUAGUGUGUGUGUGUGUGUGUGUGUCAGGAGAUUCAACGUCCCUGAUCUCCCUCUGAGUAACAGUAAUUUGCAACUUAGACAGGAGACUCUCAACAGCAACUUCUAGAGAAAACUUAACACGUUGACUGCAUGAACAAACGGCUGAUCUGAGUUUAAACCAAAGUAGUUAACUUGUCAGAAGCGUAUUAUUCAUAACUCAUAAAGUGUUCCUUAUCUGUCUUUAUACAGUAGCUGUACUAGCCUGCAUCAGUAUUGAUACUAUAGUUUUCUACCUGAUCUCUGCUGGUCUGGUCUGCCCAGGUGUAUUGGCAAGAGGAUAUC
rnacentral:lncRNA from 1 species